GUAGGGAAUAUUGGGCAAUGGAUGGAAGUCUGACCCAGCCAUGCCGCGUGCCGGAUGAAGGCGCUCUGCGUUGUAAACGGCUUUUAUUCGGGAAGAAGAGUAGGGAUGCGUCCUUAUGUGACGGUACCGAAUGAAUAAGCACCGGCUAACUCCGUGCCAGCAGCCGCGGUAAUACGGAGGGUGCGAGCGUUGUCCGGAUUUAUUGGGUUUAAAGGGUGCGUAGGUGGCUUAAUAAGUCAGUGGUGAAAUACGGUUGCUUAACAAUCGAGGUGCCAUUGAUACUGUUAGGCUUGAAAUAAUUGGGGCUGCCGGAAUGGAUGGUGUAGCGGUGAAAUGCAUAGAUAUCAUCCAGAACACCGAUUGCGAAGGCAGGUGGCUACGAUUUAUUUGACACUGAUGCACGAAAGCAUGGGGAGCAAACAGGAUUAGAAACCCUUGUAGUCC
rnacentral:rRNA from 1 species